rnacentral:lncRNA from 1 species
CGCAUAGCAUUCCGCAUCCGAUAGCACGAGCGACAGUCCAUGGGCCACAACAGCCGAAACAGCAUGUUUGGAACACAGGUACCGCUACAAUGUUCACCCGAUGCCCCAAAGGAGGCACAAAGGCGAAAUAUGGGACAGCAACAUCAUUGAAUUCCACUAGUGUGGGUAUGCAACACAGGAACCCGACAUUUGCCCACUUACAAAACAUUCACUUGGGCUAGGACUGAAAGGAUCGCGGGGAAGCAAUUCGAUGCGCGAGCACGAAGCCUGCCUACCCAAACGAUCGUGAUACGACUCAUGCACCACCACGUACAAUGAGCAACAAUUCCAAUCAGCGAACUACAACCCCCAACAAGCAUGUUAUGCCCGUCAAGCAUUGCCGAAACACCGAAUGAAACAGCUGCCCCCACCGCUGGGUGCGAAGAGUUUAAGGAUUACCGAAAGAAACGUGCAUCGUCG